rnacentral:lncRNA from 1 species
UUUUUUCUUUUUUGGCUUUAGGUGUUUAGAUCUCCUUUUUAAAAAGGAAAAGAGAAAAAAAAAAAAAGUCGAGGGGGAAAAUGGCGAUUAAAGUGGAGGAGGAGAGGCGGCGCGUGGGGAAGGAGCGCGAGUGGGGGGAGAGAGAAGCAAAGUUGAAUAAGGAAGGAAUCUGGUCGGGUUUGGGGGUUUUCGAACGUUGGGAGAAAUGAAAUUGGGGAGUAACA